GGACUUUUUGGUGGAAUUGGGGGUUUUUUUAUGGAUUUGGGAUUUUUUUGCCAGAUUUACCAUUAUUUUUUGGUGGGAUUUGGGAUUUUGGGGGGGAUUUGGGAUUUUUUGCAGGAUUUGGGAUUUUUUUUUUUUUGUGGCAUUUUUGGGGUUUUUUUGUUGCUAUUUGGGUUUUUCAAUCCCUGUGGAUUCGGGGGAUUUUUGGGAAUGUUGGGAACGUUUGGAUCCCGUGGUUCCCCCCUGGGUGAUCCCAAGGUUCCUCACUGGGGUUUGUGGGAUCCCUGCCUCAGUUUCCCUUUGGAACGCCGGGGCCUCCGUCCCCAUUUCAGGGCCCGUUCCCGUUAUCCCAACCCCAUUCCAGUUUAUCCCAACCCCAUUCCAGUUUAUCCCGGCCCCAUUCCCAAUCCCAUUCCCAGUUCCCAUUCCCAGUUCCCAUUCCCAGUUCCCAUUCCCAGUUCCCAAUCCCAGUUCCCAUUCCAGUUUAUCCCAAACCCAUUCCCAAUGAUCCCAGCCCCAAUUCCCAGUUCCCAAUCCCAUUCCCGAUUAUCCCAACCCCAUUCCCAGUUCCCAAUCCCAUUCCAGUUCCCAUUCCAGUUUAUCCCAAUCCCAUUCCCAAUUAUCCCAGCCCCAAUUCCUGGUUCCCAAUCCCAUUCCCAGUUCCCAAUCCCAUUCCCAGUAUCCCAGCCCCACUCCUGGUUCCCAUUCCCAGUUCCCAUUCCCAGUUCCCAUUCCCAGUUCCCAAAUCCAUUCCAGUUUAUCCCAAUCCCACUCCCAGUUCCAAAUCCCAUUCCCAGUAUCCCAGUCCCAUUCCCGGCCCCAUUCCCAAUUAUCCCAAUCCCAUUCCAGUUUAUCCCAACCCCAUUCCCAAUUAUUCCAACCCCAUUCCCAACUGUCCCAAUCUC
rnacentral:lncRNA from 1 species